GUGCUCACUUCGGCAGCACAUAUAGUAAAAUUGGAACAAUAGAGAUUAGCAUAGCCCCUGUACAAGGAUGACAUGCAAAUUGGUGAAGCAUUCCAUAUUUUU
rnacentral:snRNA from 1 species